rnacentral:rRNA from 1 species
UACAGAGGGGGCAAGCGUUGUUCGGAAUUACUGGGCGUAAAGGGCCAGUAGGCGGCCAACUAAGUCGGAUGUGAAAUCCCCAGGCUUAACCUGGGAACUGCAUCCGAUACUGGAUGGCUUGAAUCCGGGAGAGGGAUGCAGAAUUCCAGGUGUAGCGGUGAAAUGCGUAGAUAUCUGGAGGAAUACCGGUGGCGAAGGCGGCAUCCUGGACCGGCAUUGACGCUGAUGAGCGAAAGCUAGGGGAGCAAACGGG